rnacentral:rRNA from 1 species
AACGAACGCUGGCGGCAUGCCUAACACAUGCCAGUCGAACGAGACCUUCGGGUCUAGUGGCGCACGGGUGCGUAACGCGUGGGAACCUGCCCUUAGGUUCGGAAUAACUCCCCGAAAGGGGUGCUAAUACCGGAUAAUGUCUUCGGACCAAAGAUUUAUCGCCUUUGGAUGGGCCCGCGUUGGAUUAGCUAGUUGGUAGGGUAAAAGCCUACCAAGGCGACGAUCCAUAGCUGGUCUGAGAGGAUAAUCAGCCACACUGGGACUGAGACACGGCCCAGACUCCUACGGGAGGCAGCAGUGGGGAAUAUUGGACAAUGGGCGAAAGCCUGAUCCGGCAAUGCCGCGUGAGUGAUGAAGGCCUUAGGGUUGUAAAGCUCUUUUACCCGGGAUGAUAAUGACAGUACCGGGAGAAUAAGCUCCGGCUAACUCCGUG